rnacentral:rRNA from 1 species
UACGAGGGGAGCAAGCGUUGUUCGGAUUUACUGGGCGUAAAGGGCGCGUAGGCGGCCUGACAAGUGGAAGGUGAAAUCCCUCGGCUUAACCGAGGAACUGCCCUCCAAACUGUUUGGCUUGAGACCGGGAGAGGUGAGUGGAAUUCCCAGUGUAGCGGUGAAAUGCGUAGAUAUUGGGAGGAACACCAGUGGCGAAGGCGGCUCACUGGACCGGUACUGACGCUGAGGCGCGAAAGCGUGGGGAGCGAACAGG